CAACACCGGGAAAAACACCACGUCCUCACAUAGUAAGGAGUGACAGAUUGAGAGGUCUUUUUUGAUUAUAUGGGGGGUGGUGCAGCGCCGCUGUUAGUUGGUGGAGGGAUUAUUCUGGUUAAUUCCGUUAACGAACGAGACCCCAACCCCCUAAAUAGUUACCCCAACGUUUGUUGGUCGUCAACUUCUUAGAGGGACUAUUGACUAUUAGUCAAUGGAAGUUUGAGGCAAUAACAGGUCUGUGAUGCCCUAGAUGUUUUGGGCCGCACGCGCGCUACCAUGAUCAAGUCAACGAGUUUACAACCUUGGCCGGAAGGUCCGGGUAAUCUUUUGAAACUCGAUCGUGCUGGGGAUAGUCCAUUGCAGUUAUUGGUCUUCAACGAGGAAUUCCUAGUAAGCGCGAGUCAUCAGCUCGCGUUGAUUACGUCCCUGCCCUUUGUACACACCGCCCGUCGGUACUACCGAUUGAAUGGCUUAGUGAGGCUUCCGGACUGGCCCAG
rnacentral:rRNA from 1 species